ACUUCAAUCGUACGGUAUAUAUUUUAAAAUUGGAACGAUAUGGAGAAGAUUAGUUUUGCCUCUGCACAAGGAUGACAUACAAAAUCAUGAAGCAUUCCAAAUUUUU